UACGUAGGGUGCAAGCGUUGUCCGGAAUUAUUGGGCGUAAAGAGCGUGUAGGCGGCCAGGUAGGUCAGCUGUGAAAACUCGAGGCUCAACCUCGAGACGUCGGUUGAAACCACUUGGCUAGAGUCCGGGAAGAGGAGAGUGGAAUUCCUGGUGUAGCGGUGAAAUGCGCAGAUAUCAGGAAGAACACCCGUGGCGAAGGCGGCUCUCUGGGACGGUACUGACGCUGAGACGCGAAAGCGUGGGGAGCGAACAGG
rnacentral:rRNA from 1 species